rnacentral:rRNA from 1 species
AGGACGAACGCUGGCGGCGUGCUUAAUACAUGCAAGUCUAAGGGUUUAUCUUCCUUCGGGAAGAUAGACACUGGCGCACGGGUGAGUAACACGUAAGUCAUCUGCCCUUGGGUCUGGCACAACUCCGGGAAACCGGGGCUAAUUCCAGAUGAUACCGAAAGGUCAAAGUUUCGACGCCCAAGGAUGAGCUUGCGUCUGAUUAGCUAGUUGGCGGGGUAAUGGCCCACCAAGGCGACGAUCAGUAGCCGGUCUGAGAGGAUGAUCGGCCACAUUGGGACUGAGACGCGGCCCAGACUCCUACGGGAGGCAGCAGUAAGGAAUAUUGCGCAAUGGACGAAAUCUGACGCAGCAACGCCGCGUGCAGGAUGACGGCCCUUUGGGUUGUAAACUGCUGUAGCAGGGAAUAAGAGCCCAUCGGUGGGUCGUGAAGGUACCCUGAAAGUAAGCUCCGGCCUAACACGUGCCAGCAGCCGUC